rnacentral:rRNA from 1 species
UAAUACGUAGGGUGCAAGCGUUAAUCGGAAUUACUGGGCGUAAAGCGUGCGCAGGCGGCUUUGCAAGACAGAUGUGAAAUCCCCGGGCUUAACCUGGGAACUGCAUUUGUGACUGCAUGGCUGGAGUGCGGCAGAGGGGGAUGGAAUUCCGCGUGUAGCAGUGAAAUGCGUAGAUAUGCGGAGGAACACCGAUGGCGAAGGCAAUCCCCUGGGCCUGCAC